ensembl:snRNA U1 U1 spliceosomal RNA
UAACUUGCCUGGCAGAUCAAGAGGUGGUCCACCCAAGGCAUCGCACUCCAGCUAGCUGACCCCAAAUGUGUGAAUCUGGACUGCAUAAUUUAUGGUAGUGGUGGACAGCACUGUCCUCAG